GACGAACGCUGGCGGCGUGCCUAAUACAUGCAAGUCGAGCGAGCGGAACCAACAGAUUUACUUCGGUAAUGACGUUGGGAAAGCGAGCGGCGGAUGGGUGAGUAACACGUGGGGAACCUGCCCCUAAGUCUGGGAUACCAUUUGGAAACAGGUGCUAAUACCGGAUAAUCGCACAGGACCGCAUGGUCUGGUGUGAAAAACUCCGGUGGUAUAAGAUGGACCCGCGUCUGAUUAGCUAGUUGGUGGGGUAACGGCCCACCAAGGCGACGAUCAGUAGCCGGCCUGAGAGGGUGAACGGCCACAUUGGGACUGAGACACGGCCCAG
rnacentral:rRNA from 1 species